rnacentral:rRNA from 1 species
AUGCCGGAGCAGGCCGAGCGGCUGCGGCUGCCUUCUUUCGUUGCUUACAAGACAGAGGAGAAGGACUAUGACGCGCCGGAGCAGCCGGAGCGACGGUGGGUCUCUUCCACCCUUGCUGAUAAGGCGGAGAAGGAGGAGGCUGGCUGGUCGGGCGCGCCGGCCCAAUCAAACCACAGCCAGGGCGCAUGGCUUCUCUCUCUGUCUUGCUCCUCUCUCGAUCCCCUCCAGGUCCAGCCGCCACCGCCGAACGCCGACCUCCGUCCUCUCCCCCAACCCCAACCCCAACUCCAACUCCGGCCUCCACUCCACCGCCGGCGAUCCAUCCGUUCCCCUUCUCUCCCUCGCCGUAGAUCCGCUCGAGCAGCGCAGCCCACGGUCAGAUCAGAUCCUCGCGCCCGAAACCCUAGACCUCCGGCCAUGGCGACCGGCCGUAGCACAGGUUGGAGGUGCCACCAUGGAUUCCUCUGCCGGGGACGCCGCCCAAGUGCUCCUCAAGGCCCGCUGCUCCUUCUUCCUCCUUUUCCUCAAAUUCAAGGGCAAGCAGCAGCACACGCCAUCCUCAAGGCGCACGGUUCUUCUCUUCUCUGA